UGCAAUUUACCCUAACUAGCAAAGUGGCCCGCUCGAUGCGCGGGCUAGAACUUUAGAAAUUUUAAUAUGAGAACAUAGUAGUUUUUUUUCUUCCUAAAGACGCAUUGAGACCAAAUGUGUUGAAAUUUACAAAUAUAAGUCUCAUUUUAACAUAGUUUUUUCUGGGUAUUUUUUUCUCAGUGACAUGUAAAUAUAUAUGUUUGUCAUUUACAUGCUUAUUAUGCAAAGCGUACUAAAUGUAUUUUUAAUUAAGAAUCACAUUGUGAAAUUUAUAAUUCAUAUCAUUUUUGGCAUUAUGAUGUUUUAUCUAUUUUUAAUUAAAAAUUGCUUAGUAGUUCACCUUUUUUAGGGAGAAAUAGAUGUGCCAUCUCUCGGUUACCUGCGGUUUGUCAAGUUGGAAGGAAGAAAAAUGUGAUUGCCCGUAGUUUCAAUUUGGUCGUCAUAUUUCAAGUAGAUUAUGCAUAUAUUAAACCAUGGUACAGCAGAUUAUGAGAGGGAAACGAAAUUUAUUUAUGAAAAGCAUAUGAUUCCAUAUAUGUACUAAUAUAAAUUAUGUCAAAAACAUAUGAGUGGAGAACAGGGAUAAUACCUAAGUAUUGAUAUGAUGUCAAAAUAUCAAGGCGAUGUAUUACUAUUGAGUGGAAAUUAUGACAACAAAUAUGGUCGGACAUACCCAUCUAAAUAUGAGUAGUGAGUUUUUUUCCUUUGUUACGGUUUUUUUAUUCAUAUGAUAAUGUACUAUAUGUUUGCAUGAUAAAAUAUACUAUAAUUUAGGCCGAAUAUGCACUAUAUUUUUCUGUAAUAAUAGCUGGCAAUUAGGAUUGUUGUGUUUUUUUAAUUGUGUUGUUUUGUAAAAAAAUGAUUUUUUUAGAAGAAGUAAAAAUUGAUUCUUUUGUGCUGGUAUGAUUGGUUGGGCUUUAGCCCAACAAUCUCAAGCAGAUGCCCACAGGGACGACACAUCUUCUCUUUCACUCUACGCUUACAAAAAUGAGAUUUUUUUUCUUUGUCACUCACACCUUCACUCUUGCCUGAUGCCCCGAUCCCCUUUCUCCUUUCCUUGUUCUAUCCGUUCACUCCAAAAUUAUUGCCACUGAAUCAGGUCCGGCUGGUACCACUGGUAAUUCUUAAUCCCCAUCAGUUUGCUCCGUUGAUUUGUGCCUGCUAGUCCUCAGCUGCAGGCAUCCCCGCAGCUGGACUCGCCAGUGCGGCAACAUGGUGACCGUCGUUGACGGCUGGUUUGGCUCGUACGCCUCCUCCGUCUCCUCGCCUUGUAAGCGGCGAUGGAUGUAUAGCAGGGCCCGAGUAGCAGCUCCAAGGGAGGAGGCGAGAUCGUUGAUCUGCACGGUGUCGUCGCUGUCAGCAUCCGUGUAGGGGAUGUUUGGGCAUGGAUCUCUACUCCCACAGCCAGCAUGGAGUCAGCUUUUGUAUGAGGAUAUUGGCGCCGUUGUCUUCCUCAAUCCUGCAACCCAGACUUCGUCGCUGUUCCCACUCGAGGAAGCCCGACAUGUCGUCGUCUUCCUCCACAGCGGCAACAUCCUUCGACCUACAGCAACAGUCGUGGCCUGUCUUCUAGUCUGGCAUGACCUCUUGAUAGUUUUUCUGAUCAAGAUUUUUGUUCUCAUGUACAGUAAGAGCGGUAAACUACUUAUACAAUGAUUCAUUUGGUUUCAAAUCGUAAGGUGCACAUAUGCUAUUUA